GAUGAACGCUAGCUACAGGCUUAACACAUGCAAGUCGCGGGGCAGCAUGGGGGUUGCUUGCAAUCCCCGAUGGCGACCGGCGCACGGGUGAGUAACGCGUAUCCAACCUGCCCUUCACCACGGGAUAACCCGGCGAAAGUCGGACUAAUACCGUAUGUUGUCCAUUGACGGCAUCCGAUUUGGACGAAAGGUUUGGCGGGGAAGGAUGGGGAUGCGUCCGAUUAGCUGGACGGCGGGGUGACGGCCCACCGUGGCGACGAUCGGUAGGGGUUCUGAGAGGAAGGUCCCCCACACUGGAACUGAGACACGGUCCAGACUCCUACGGGAGGCAGCAGUGAGGAAUAUUGGUCAAUGGGCGUAAGCCUGAACCAGCCAAGUAGCGUGCAGGAUGACGGCCCUAUGGGUCGUAAACUGCUUUUAUGCGGGGAUAAAGUGGCCCACGUGUGGGUUUUUGCAGGUACCGCAUGAAUAAGGACCGGCUAAUUCCGUG
rnacentral:rRNA from 1 species